AACGAACGCUGGCGGCAGGCCUAACACAUGCAAGUCGAGCGAGCAUUUCGGUGCUAGCGGCGGACGAGUGAGUAACGCGUGGGAACGUGCCCUUUUCUGCGGAAUAGUCCUGGGAAACUGGGGGUAAUACCGCAUACGCCCUUUUGGGGAAAGAUUUAUCGGAGAAGGAUCGGCCCGCGUUGGAUUGGGUAGUUGGUGGGGUAAUGGCCCACCAAGCCGACGAUCCAUAGCUGGUUUGAGAGGAUGAUCAGCCACACUGGGACUGAGACACGGCCCAGACUCCUACGGGAAGCAGCAGUGGGGAAUCUUAGACAAUGGGGGCAACCCUGAUCUAGCCAUGCCGCGUGAGUGAUGAAGGCCUUAGGGUUGUAAAGCUCUUUCAGCUGGGAAGAUAAUGACGGUACCAGCAGAAGAAGCCCCGGCUAACUCCGUG
rnacentral:rRNA from 1 species